GACAGAGGGUGCAAACGUUGUUCGGAAUUACUGGGCGUAAAGCGCGUGUAGGCUGCUUCGCAAGUCGGAUGUGAAAGCCCUGGGCUCAACCUAGGAAGUGCAUUCGAAACUGCGAAGCUUGAGUCCUGGAGAGGAAGGCGGAAUUCUCGGUGUAGAGGUGAAAUUCGUAGAUAUCGGGAGGAACACCAGUGGCGAAGGCGGCGAUCUGGGCAGUUACUGACGCUGAGGUGCGAAAGCGUGGGGAGCAAACAGG
rnacentral:rRNA from 1 species